rnacentral:tRNA from 1 species
UGGAAUAUAGCCAAGCUGGUAAGGCCUUCGUUUUUGGUACGAAUAUACAAAGGUUCGAACCCUUUUAUUCCAA